GUGGGGAAUUUUGGACAAUGGGCGAAAGCCUGAUCCAGCCAUGCCGUGUGCAGGAUGAAGGCCUUCGGGUUGUAAACUGCUUUUGUACGGAACGAAAAGACUCCUUCUAAUAAAGGGGGUCCAUGACGGUACCGUAAGAAUAAGCACCGGCUAACUACGUGCCAGCAGCCGCGGUAAUACGUAGGGUGCAAGCGUUAAUCGGAAUUACUGGGCGUAAAGCGUGCGCAGGCGGUUAUAUAAGACAGAUGUGAAAUCCCCGGGCUCAACCUGGGAACUGCAUUUGUGACUGUAUAGCUAGAGUACGGUAGAGGGGGAUGGAAUUCCGCGUGUAGCAGUGAAAUGCGUAGAUAUGCGGAGGAACACCGAUGGCGAAGGCAAUCCCCUGGACCUGUACUGACGCUCAUGCACGAAAGCGUGGGGAGCAAACAGGAUUAGAAACCCCAGUAGUCC
rnacentral:rRNA from 1 species